rnacentral:misc_RNA from 1 species
AUGGGAUGAAGAUUCUGCCAUGGAAAUCGAUUGUGAGAGAAAGCCCUUGCCAAGCCGGGUGAAAACAGAAAUUUAUGACUCUGAAAUCAAAAUGGAAGAUGUUGCUGAGAGUAAAGGUUUUGAACGAGCAGCAGCUGAACCUGCCUGCCGAAAGGCUCUUGAUAUGAGUUUGAUGAUGGAGAAUCAUGGUCUGAAGAUUGAACGAGGAGCAGUGAACGAGCCCGAGGAUCGAAUGUAUUCCUAGCAACAAGUGAACCAGAUUCGUUUAUAUGCGAAUUAGUAUUUUUGGGAUGUGCCAGAACUUUAGACCUGUCACAUGGAUGAGUGUUAAUAUAUAGACUAUAGAUGAUGAUGAUGAAGCUG